AUAGCGUAUAUUAAAGUUGUUGCAGUUAAAAAGCUCGUAGUUGAACCUUGGGCCUGGUUGGUCGGUCCGCCUCACCGCGUGCACUGAUCCGACCGGGUCUUUCCUUCUGGGGAGCCGCAUGCCCUUCACUGGGUGUGUCGGGGAACCAGGACUUUUACUUUGAAAAAAUUAGAGUGUUCAAAGCAGGCCUAUGCUCGAAUACAUUAGCAUGGAAUAAUAGAAUAGGACGUGUGGUUCUAUUUUGUUGGUUUCUAGAGUCGCCGUAAUGAUUAAUAGGGAUAGUUGGGGGCAUUAGUAUUCAGUUGCUAGAGGUGAAAUUCUUGGAUUUACUGAAGACUAACUACUG
rnacentral:rRNA from 1 species